UGCAGGCUUGUCUGCAGGUUUUCCUACAAGUCAGGUACUGCUUACUUACUUACUUUUUUAAAUAGAGUUUCCACAUUCGAAUACAAUAUUAAGACAUAAUAAAGUAAAUAACAGUAAAAAAAAAAAACCAGAAGAUGAGGGGAAUGGUCUCCCGGGUUUUUCCAAAGAAAGGUUGGUCACCUGUUGGCCUAGUUUCUGCUACUGAAGUACAGGCCUUGAGCAUACCAGAGGAUCCAAAAACUCAAUGAAAAAGACUUGUUUGUUCGCAUCCUCUCCAAAGAAGAGUGACAGCUUCAAAAAGCCUGCCUGAGAUGAGAAUCGACUGAUUGCGGACACGAAGACUCCACUUGACAGCGAGAUAGCGUGUGAUUGGACAGGACUCCACAGCAUGUAGCUGUCAAUCAAUCAGUGAGGAGUUGAGUAUUUCUGACCGAUGCUGUGCACACGCUUGAAGCUGCCAGGCGUGAAAAUAAUACACGCUUAGGACUUCUCAGUGAUUUAUUUAUUCCAGGAU